rnacentral:rRNA from 1 species
UACGUAGGGGGCAAGCGUUGUCCGGAUUUAUUGGGCGUAAAGAGCGUGUAGGCGGCCAUACAGGUCAGCUGUGAAAACUCGAGGCUCAACCUCGAGACGUCGGUUGAAACCGUACGGCUAGAGUCCGGAAGAGGAGAGUGGAAUUCCCGGUGUAGCGGUGAAAUGCGCAGAUAUCGGGAAGAACACCCGUGGCGAAGGCGGCUCUCUGGGACGGUACUGACGCUGAGACGCGAAAGCGUGGGGAGCGAACAGG